rnacentral:tRNA from 1 species
GUCGGUGGUUCAAGUCCACUUAGGCCCAUUGGAUGGGGCCUUAGCUCAGCUGGGAGAGCGCCUGCUUUGCAAGCAGGAGGUCAUCGGUUCGAUCCCGAUAGGCUCCACCAUAUCAAGGUAAGAGGUUUCAACGUAGUUGCUUUGCGUCUGCGUCUACAAGCGGAUUCGGAGAAGCUGAAUUCCUCGACGCAAACCAGCGAAGAAGCGAAUUCAAAGGAGCUGCUUUGCGUCUGUGCCUGCGUCUGCUAGCAGGUUCAGGGAAGCAAGAUUCCUCGGCACAAAGCCGCAAGGAAGUUUGUUCAAAGAAGUCGCUUUGCGUCUACAAGCGGAUUCGGAGAAGCCGAAUUUCUCGACGCAAACCAGCGAAGAAGCGAAUUCAAAGGAGCUGCUUUGCGUCUGUGCCUGCGUCUGCUAGCAGGUUCAGGGAAGCAAGAUUCCUCGGCACAAGACUGCAGAGAAGCAAAUUCAAGAAGCAGUCUCGUUCCUUGAAAACUAGAUAACCGGAAAAGCGGAGGCGAGCGUUUCGCCGCGAUGGGCAAAUGUUCUUCGCCUGGAGGGAUGUUCACAUCCCGAAGGCGAAGGUUAUUUGACCCCGAGCGGCGGCGAGCCGAAGCUAGACAGUAAGGAAG